CCCCUGAUGGUCUAGUUGGUUAUGGCGUCCGACUGUAAUUUAUUUCGCGAUCGGAAAGUCGCCGGAUCGACUCCGGCUCGGGGGAUCA
rnacentral:tRNA from 1 species